rnacentral:rRNA from 1 species
AUUGAACGCUGGCGGCAGGCCUAACACAUGCAAGUCGAGCGGAUGAAGGGAGCUUGCUCCUGGAUUCAGCGGCGGACGGGUGAGUAAUGCCUAGGAAUCUGCCUGGUAGUGGGGGAUAACGUCCGGAAACGGGCGCUAAUACCGCAUACGUCCUGAGGGAGAAAGUGGGGGAUCUUCGGACCUCACGCUAUCAGAUGAGCCUAGGUCGGAUUAGCUAGUUGGUGGGGUAAAGGCCUACCAAGGCGACGAUCCGUAACUGGUCUGAGAGGAUGAUCAGUCACACUGGAACUGAGACACGGUCCAGACUCCUACGGGAGGCAGCAGUGGGGAAUAUUGGACAAUGAGCGAAAGCCUGAUCCAGCCAUGCCGCGUGUGUGAAGAAGGUCUUCGGAUUGUAAAGCGCUUUAAGUUGGGAGGAAGGACAGUAAGUUAAUACCUUGCUGUUUUGACGUUACCAACAGAAUAAGCACCGGCUAACUUCGUG